rnacentral:rRNA from 1 species
UACGGAGGGGGCUAGCGUUGUUCGGAAUUACUGGGCGUAAAGCGCACGUAGGCGGCUUUGUAAGUUAGAGGUGAAAGCCCGGAGCUCAACUCCGGAAUUGCCUUUAAGACUGCAUCGCUAGAAUUGUGGAGAGGUAAGUGGAAUUCCGAGUGUAGAGGUGAAAUUCGUAGAUAUUCGGAAGAACACCAGUGGCGAAGGCGGUCUGCUGGGCCAGUACUGACGCUGAGGUACGAAAGCGUGGGUAGCGAACGGG